rnacentral:rRNA from 1 species
AUACGGAGGAUCCAAGCGUUAUCCGGAAUCAUUGGGUUUAAAGGGUUCGUAGGCGGGUUUAUAAGUCAGUGGUGAAAGUUUGCGGCUCAACCGUAAAAUUGCCAUUGAUACUGUAGAUCUUGAAUUAGUGUGAAGUGAUUAGAAUAAGUAGUGUAGCGGUGAAAUGCAUAGAUAUUACUUAGAAUACCAAUUGCGAAGGCAGGUCACUAACACUAUAUUGACGCUGAGGGACGAAAGCGUGGGGAGCGAACAGGAUUAGAAACCCUUGUAGUCC